rnacentral:rRNA from 1 species
UGGGGAAUCUUCCGCAAUGGACGAAAGUCUGACGGAGCGACGCCGCGUGAGUGACGAAGGCCCUCGGGUCGUAAAGCUCUGUCAUCGGGGACGAACGGCUGAUUCAGGAAAUGGGAUCGGAUUGACGGUACCCGAGAAGGAAGCCACGGCUAACUACGUGCCAGCAGCCGCGGUAAUACGUAGGUGGCGAGCGUUGUCCGGAAUUAUUGGGCGUAAAGCGCGCGCAGGUGGGAUUUUAAGUCUGUUCUCAAAGUGCGGAGCUUAACUCCGUGAUGGGAUAGAAACUGGGAUUCUUGAGUACCGGAGAGGAAAGCGGAAUUCCCCGUGUAGCGGUGAAAUGCGUAGAUAUGGGGAGGAACACCAGUGGCGAAGGCGGCUUUCUGGACGGUGUCUGACACUGAGGCGCGAAAGCCAGGGGAGCGAACG